CCUACGGGGAGCAGCAGUGAGGAAUAUUGGUCAAUGGACGAGAGUCUGAACCAGCCACGUAGCGUGAAGGAUGACUGUCCUAUGGGUUGUAAACUUCUUUUAUAUGGGAAUAAAAUGUUCCACGUGUGGGAUUUUGUAUGUACCCUAUGAAUAAGGAUCGGCUAACUCCGUGCCAGCAGCCGCGGUAAUAAGGAGGAUCCGAGCGUUAUCCGGAUUUAUUGGGUUUAAAGGGAGCGUAGGUGGAUUGUUAAGUCAGUUGUGAAAGUUUGCGGCUCAACCGUAAAAUUGCAGUUGAAACUGGCAGUCUUGAGUACAGUAGAGGUGGGCGGAAUUCGGGGUGUAGCGGUGAAAUGCUUAGAUAUCACGAAGAACUCCGAUUGCGAAGGCAGUUCACUGGACUGCAACUGACACUGAGGCUCGAAAGUGUGGGUAUCAAACAGGAUUAGAUACCCGAGUAGUC
rnacentral:rRNA from 1 species